UGUAUAGAGAUCAGACUGUAGGAUAUUUCACUUCAUCUCCAACUUGCUUUCUAUACGUUUCGUACUCAAUUGUGUAAGAGGAUUGCAGUCUUAGAAAUUCUAUAUAUAUUAUAAUAUAUUUCCAACUAGCUCUCUAUACGUUUCGUACUCAAUUGUGUAAGAGGAUAUUUUUCUAGGAGUUUUUGCAGUCUUAGAAAUUCUAUAUAUAUUAUAAUAUAUUUCCAACUAGCUUUCUAUACGUUUCGUACUCAAUUGUGUAAGAGGAUUGCAGUCUUAGAAAUUCUAUAUAUAUUAUAAUAUAUUUCCAACUAGCUCUCUAUACGUUUCGUACUCAAUUGUGUAAGAGGAUAUUUUUCUAGGAGUUUUUGCAGUCUUAGAAAUUCUAUAUAUAUUAUAAUAUAUUUCCAACUAGCUCUCUAUACGUUUCGUACUCAAUUGUGUAAGAGGAUAUUUUUCUAGGAGUUUUUGCAGUCUUAGAAAUUCUAUAUAUAUUAUGAUAUAUUUCCAACUAGCUCUCUAUACGUUUCGUACUCAAUUGUGUAAGAGGAUAUUUUUCUAGGAGUUUUUGCAGUCUUAGAAAUUCUAUAUAUAUUAUAAUAUAUUUCCAACUAGCUCUCUAUACGUUUCGAACUCAAUUGUGUAAGAGGAUAUUUUUCUAGGAGUUUUUGCAGUCUUAGAAAUUCUAUAUAUAUUAUAAUAUAUUUCCAACUAGCUCUCUAUACGUUUCGUACUCAAUUGUGUAAGAGGAUAUUUUUCUAAGAGUUUUUACAGUCUUAGAAAUUCUAUAUAUAUUAUAAUAUAUUUCCAACUAGCUCUCUAUACGUUUCGUACUCAAUUGUGUAAGAGGAUAUUUUUCUAAGAGUUUUUACAGUCUUAGAAAUUCUAUAUAUAUUAUAAUAUAUUUUGUACGGUUAAGCAAACGGAGGAACUCGGAGUUUAAAUAACCAACUCUUGUGAGGAAACGCAAUUAUGGCUGAACAAAGUAAGACGACUAACACUAAGGCCGAUACUGUCGAGGGGGUGACACAAACAGAGCAGUCUAUUCCACCCGUAUUUGGAGAUGCAUCCGAUAUUCUUGUCAUCGAUGGGGAACAAGAAAACCUCAUCGGAGAGCCAUUGUCUAUGCGAACUCGCAUUUCAUUGUUCAAACAACGUUUUGCUGUUAAAUUUACUCCUCGAUUGUUGGUACUCCUAGGAAUUUUUACGCUAUUAGGGGCUAAAUUGUACGCUGACUGGCAUGAGCAGAAGCGUCGUGAGGCAGAAGAGACGAAGUUUUACGGACUAAUGGAUUCUUUUUUCAAACUCAAAUCACAUUUUUAUUAAGCGGCCUAAAUCAAAAGAGCUCCAUAUUCUAUACACAAAUGGGUUCUUAUUACUAGUUAUUGUUAACCACAAAAAAAAUGUUAAAUUCGCGAUAUUGAAAAUUAAUUGUUCUAGUUAAAAAUAUAAAAGCCCUGAGAGGUUGUGCUAUGAUUAA